UACGAAGGGUGCUAGCGUUGCUCGGAAUCACUGGGCGUAAAGGGUGCGUAGGCGGGUCUUUAAGUCAGGGGUGAAAUCCUGGAGCUCAACUCCAGAACUGCCUUUGAUACUGAGGAUCUUGAGUUCGGGAGAGGUGAGUGGAACUGCGAGUGUAGAGGUGAAAUUCGUAGAUAUUCGCAAGAACACCAGUGGCGAAGGCGGCUCACUGGCCCGAUACUGACGCUGAGGCACGAAAGCGUGGGGAGCAAACAGG
rnacentral:rRNA from 1 species